CUUGAGGAAAGGGCAAGUGGAGGGCGGUAUCCCAGCCUACACUUGUUGAGUGGUCUCUACAGUGUGUGACUAAGGCUAGCCAUGAUGACAUAGUGACUCAUAGAAGGUUUUGUUGUGGUGAACAAUGGCAGAAUGUCUGCAUGCCACUAAGAGACCUAGAAGUUCAAAGUCCAAGUUCGGAGCCCCAGUGUGAGGCUGACAGGCAUCCAGACCAGCAAGGGCAUCACACAGAGUAAAUAGGCAUCUGUUGGACUUUGGGCAGUCUUCACAGUGACACCAGGCGCCAGCCAGAAGUGAUGAAAAUCCUGAGUGGAUCAGUCAUUCCAGACCUCUUCAUCCCAACCCAUUCUCUGCACUGAAGGUCAUGAGGAUUGCUUCUCUGGCUGCCAUCACCACUCCAACAACCUCAUCUUUGUCAGAAGGACUCUUCAUUUCCAUACUCUCCCGAAAAAGCAAGGGCAGCAGCACUGGUCCUUAAUCCCGAAGAAGAUCUCCGCUAUUUUCUAGGCUAGUUGCAGCUUAAUGAGCCUUGAUAUUGGCUAAAGGAGUCAUUCCCUCAAGCUCUAUGUCACUUUUUCUCACUUCCCAGGUAGCCAGCGUGGGACUUGGAGGGGCUAUGGUCUGGCCUAGUCUCCUGGGUUGAAUUUCUGGCUCUUUACAUUUGCCUUUCAACUCUUAAAAGAAGAAAUUAAUUAUGCAAAAACAGGCUAUGCAACAUUAUCUUCCAGGCACCUUCCAGGCACUGCCUAGCUGAUUUGUCCAUUCUCCAUGGCUCUGGGACCAUUGACAAGUUAGGUGACUGCAAGAGGUGAAACAGCCAACGUAGAGAUAAUUUCCAAUGGGUCCUGCUUUGUUUUAACAUGAUUUGCUUGAGUCAUCUGGGCCUUAGCCGCCCUUCUUAUUAUCCUUUCCAUUGAGAUAGUUACUCACUAAGUGACAAGUGUUAUAGUAGGUAUUCAGUAAACAGGACGAACAAAAGAAAAGGUAAAGAAGAUAGCCAGUUGUUGUUGACUGGUAGGUAGGACCAGAAGAAAGGAUUUGCAAAUAUAUACAGG
rnacentral:lncRNA from 1 species